rnacentral:rRNA from 1 species
UGGAGUAUGUGGUUUAAUUCGAUGCAACGCGAAGAACCUUACCUGGUCUUGACAUCCCGGAGACCCUUAGGAACUAGGGGUGCUUCCAUCUGGAAGAAUCUGGAGACAGGUGCUGCAUGGCUGUCGUCAGCUCGUGUCGUGAGAUGUUGGGUUAAGUCCCGCAACGAGCGCAACCCUUGCCUUUAGUUGCCAGCAGUUCGGCUGGGCACUCUAAAGGGACUGCCGGUGUUAAACCGGAGGAAGGUGGGGAUGACGUCAAGUCCUCAUGGCCUUUAUGACCAGGGCUACACACGUACUACAAUGGCCGAUACAAAGGGCAGCGACACUGCGAGGUGAAGCCAAUCCCGUAAAAUCGGUCUCAGUCCGGAUUGGAGUCUGCAACUCGACUCCAUGAAGUUGGAAUCGCUAGUAAUCGUGGAUCAGCAUGCCACGGUGAAUACGUUCCCGGGCCUU